GGUUCCAUGGUGUACUGGUGAGCACUGCGGCCUCUGAAUCCAGCGAUCCGAGUUCAAAUCUCGGUGGGACCU
rnacentral:tRNA from 1 species